rnacentral:rRNA from 1 species
AUACGUAGGGGGCGAGCGUUGUCCGGAAUUACUGGGCGUAAAGGGCGUGUAGGCGGCCUGUUAAGUCAGGCGUGAAAACCCCGGGCUUAACCUGGGGACUGCGUUUGAAACUGGCGGGCUUGAGGGCAGGGGAGGAAAGUGGAAUUCCCGGUGUAGCGGUGAUAUGCGUAGAUACCGGGAGGAACACCAGUGGCGAAGGCGGCUUUCUGGACUGCACCUGACGCUGAGGCGCGAAAGCCAGGGGAGCGAACGGGAUUAGAUACCCCGGUAGUCCUGGCCGUAAACGAUGGGUACUAGGUGUGGGAGGUAUCGACUCCUUCCGUGCCGGAGUUAACACAAUAAGUACUCCGCCUGGGAAGUACGAUCGCAAGAUUAAA